AGUAUUCUUCUCGCUGGUCAUAGCUUCCGCUGAAUAUGCAACCCCAGCUACUAACCGGGAUUGCAAUAAAAAACCGCCUACCAAGGCGGUUUUUUAUU
rnacentral:misc_RNA from 2 species